AGGCCGGCCUGGUAAAUGCAAAAGGCUGGUACAGAAGCGUUUUAGCACAAUCGGGCUGGAAAGCUCCGACUGCAACGGGCUGAGAACAAAAAAAAAAAAAAAAAAAAAAAAAAAAAAAAAAAAAAAAAAGAAACGUGAAAAGGCUCCUUUGCUGCCCUCUGCCUGCCGAGGCUGCGGCCGCCUCCGAGGCUGGCGAAGAGCUGACAUUGCCUGAGUGAAAAAACGGAGGAAUCCGGGCCAAUUCGCACACCUGUGGUGCUUCCACACAAUCAAUUAGGUUGGAAAGACCUCUGAGAUCGUCGAGUCCAACCCUUCCUGGCUCUGGAUGCACUGAGUUGUCCUUUUUCCCACGUGUGGACGUGCUUCUCUUCACCUCGCUUCCAGACAACUUCAGUAGAGAAAGAUGAGGCACAAAGAGGAGGAACUCACCCAGUCCCACCCGGCACUGCAGAAGGAACCAGAAUUACCAGCCCUUGCUCUGCCUCGCCCAGGGUGUGCCCUGAUGGAAACAAACUGUCGGACAUUUUCUCCAAACACACCUCUGCUGCUGCACAGGCUGUGGGACAGAAUAAACGCUCUAACCAAGGAUUCUUCUGCUGCUUCCUAUUUGAAAGAGAUACAAACUUUUAUCCCAGGAAAAACAACAGAACCCAGGAGCUCAUUACACAUUUAAAUUGCAAGACUCACAACUACUGUUCUUAGUUUUGGUUGCAGAUAUUUGUAAUAACAAUUUUUUCUAAAACAAAAAGACUUUUCUCCAAAGGGGUCCUUGGCCAUUCACCCUGAGACAAGCAGGGGUUUAGACAAAAAACACCCAAAACCUCCAAAUCUAACACCAAACAGAGGUGGCAGCUCGGAUUCUUCUCCAGUGUGAUCCCAUCAGCGCAGUUACAGCAUCACCCCCACCUCUCGCAUUUCUCACCCCUCCACACAUCAUUUAAAGUCAGUGGCUCCUUUUGUGAGCAGCCAGCUCCUCACCCCGGCACUUUCCCUGCACUUCGACAAAAGAGACCUUUUACAUGUCAAUUUAUUUUCAGACAAGCAUAUCUGAAAGGGAGUUUCCCUCCGGAGUCGAAUUAGUAUUAAUGGCAGGUGUUCAGUGGCACACAAAGGGAGGGAGGCUGAGCCGAGGCACUAAGACAGCUUGAUGUUUUAAUAACCAGAGGCAAGGAAUGGAGUGGCAGCGGACCUGCGGCUUCCCCGGCGUGAGUGAAGGUUUUAUUCAGAGCCCCCAUGUACUGCCGAAAGAAGACCUUGAAAUAUUUUAAAUGUUUUCUUUGCCUUCAAAGGGGGAUUAAAUUAUUGAAUAUUCCAUGAAAGCACAGCAUCCACCCCACAUCCCGUGGAACUCACUCGCAGUCACUGAGUACUUCCGAAGCCUCCCGCAGCCUUGGGAAGCAGCCGCGGCCACCACGAGGAGGUGGUGGCACCCAGGAGGCCUCCAGCUGCACAGUUCACCAUCCACCAGUGCCCAGAGAUGCUGAAAAAAGAUUUACAUGGACUAACUCAAAGGUGGAAACUUGGAGAGGGAUUUGCAUUAAAGUUUAAAAAGUUAAAACCACAGAUCAGUUGCUUAGUGAAGUUUCACUAUGAAAAGGAAAGAGAAGAUGAUUGCUGGAAAAGCUACUGGCCUUCAGUUUUAAACUGAAUCUUGAUGGGAAUAUUUCCCAGGCCAAAAUACAUUUAUUGAUGCCCUGGUGAAUUUGACAGAGGUCAGCAAGGGAAAGGCACAGCUACACAGUGGGAAAGAAGGGAAACAUCCUCUCAGCUGGGUCAGCCCCUACAACAAAAAAAUGGCUGAUUUACGCCCCAAAAUAGGAAAAUUUAACCUGUAUUAUACAGAAACAGUAUUAUAUAGAGCUGUUCAACAUUAUUUUUGGUCUCCUUGACUUUGGAUCAAUAUGUUUUUU